GAAAAAGUUUGGCCGCGGAUAUAAUUUACAUUUAAAUUUUUACAAUCGCAUUUGAAGGAGUGGCGUUAUAAUUUUAUUUUAGUGACCCGGGAUUAGAAAGUCUGAGCGAAAUCAGAUGACAAUGGAAUCAUUUGCUUAAAAUGGGUCUUAAAGUAAAUGGGGAAGAUUCAAACAAAGUUUCAUUAAAAUUUUAUUUUUUGAUACCAUUAGACAAUUUUUCAUAUGAAUUUGAAGAGUGAGUUUAAUAUGUGUUGGCUAAUUUUCGUGAACGUAAUUUAAUUUUUUUCUAAUAAGAACAAUUGCCACAUUUCUGUUCUUGUCUGCUUCUGAAAGUGGAAUACCAUUGUACCAUUGAGAAGAUGUUCGAGACGCACGUCAGAAUUUUGGGACUGGGUUCAACGAAUUCGAACUAGAUGAGGCAGCAGAAAGAAAAUUCCAGGGGCAACCUCGG